CCACUUUCUCUCCUAUCGUUUCACAUCCUGAUAAAAACUCUCUCUUCGCCCAAAAAAAAUUUCAGACAAACUUUCUCUAUCCAUUAAUGCCAGAUCUGAUCAUUUAACCUCUUCUUCCCAACUCUUCUUCUCCUCUCCUCUCCGGUCUACAUACGUACUCACAACUCUUCUUCUUCUUCAUCUCUUAUCGGCAGAUCUGACCAUUCCUCUCUCUCUAGCACUUUCUUCAUCUCUUAUCGGCAGAUCUGACCAUUCCUCUCUUUAGCACUUUCUCUCUCUACACUGAUAUCUCGGCAUUAUCGCUUCUUCAACCGGAAAACCUCGUAUCCUCGUCGGAAGAUCGCUUGUUCGCCGGCUAACUCUGGAGAAUUGGCCCGCACUUUUACUGUUUCGUUGAUUUAUUUCUUAUUUUCUGUCUACUCGGUGGUCGUGACUUGAUCAGUUGAAUCUCCGAUCUCUGAGUCGGACUCGGUACCAUGUAGUGCACGAGAAUGUGGCGAAAUUGAGUGCGUGUUUGUGGUCAUUAUCACUUUCAUCUUGAUCGAGAUAUCGGUAUAGAGAGAGAAAGUGCUAGAGAG
rnacentral:lncRNA from 1 species